rnacentral:lncRNA from 1 species
UGGGCUUAUUUUUACCUUUUUUUUAAUCACACAGUUUGGGUAAUUUCACACGGUCUAUCCACACGACCGUAUGACUCACAUAACCAUGUACUUUUUUUUCCUUUUUAAAGCUAGAUUUUUUUUCUUUUGUAUUUUUUUUCCUAUGUUCCUCUCUACCCCAAGCCUUAUUUUUAUUUUUAUUUUCUAGAUUUAUAUCUUUUAUUUUAUUUUAG